ACGCUCGACACCUACGAGAGGCAGCAGUGGGGGAUAUUGCACAAUGGGGGAAACCCUGAUGCAGCAACGCCGCGUGAAGGAAGAAGGUCUUCGGAUUGUAAACUUCUGUCCUCAGGGAAGAUAAUGACGGUACCUGAGGAGGAAGCUCCGGCUAACUACGUGCCAGCAGCCGCGGUAAUCUGAGCGGGCUGGCAAGGC
rnacentral:rRNA from 1 species